rnacentral:rRNA from 1 species
GAUGAACGCUGGCGGCGUGCCUAAUACAUGCAAGUCGAGCGAACAGACGAGGAGCUUGCUCCUCUGACGUUAGCGGUGGACGGGUGAGUAACACGUGGAUAACCUACCUAUAAGACUGGGAUAACUUCGGGAAACCGGAGCUAAUACCGGAUAACAUGUUGAACCGCAUGGUUCAACAGUGAAAGACGGUCUUGCUGUCACUUAUAGAUGGAUCCGCGCCGCAUUAGCUAGUUGGUAAGGUAACGGCUUACCAAGGCAACGAUGCGUAGCCGACCUGAGAGAGUGAUCGGCCACACUGGAACUGAGACACGGUCCAGACUCCUACGGGAGGCAGCAGUAGGGAAUCUUCCGCAAUGGGCGAAAGCCUGACGGAGCAACGCCGCGUGAGUGAAGAAGGUCUUCGGAUCGUAAAACUCUGUUAUUAGGGAAGAACAAAUGUGUAAGUAACUAUGCACGUCUUGACGGUACCUAAUCAGAAAGCCACGGCUAACUACGUG